GGUGCCCCAGGGCAGCCGGCCUGGAUCUGUAUCUUGGUCAUGUCUCAGACUCAUCUGCAACCUGGGAACAAUAAAGCUUCCGUCACUGAGUUAAGGUGAGGACGGAAUGGAAUCGUUUAUGUAAAGCACCUCGACAUAUCUGAGGCCUGGCGGGUAUUCAACACUUAGAAGCUUUCGGUAUUACAUCAGACUGGUAAAAAUCUGAUGUCCUAGUUCCAAAAGCAGAUAAAAGGAGAUUCUUUCCCAAGACUCACUAAAUAGGAGAAAAGCAAACUAGAAGACUGCCUUCUACUUCCUCAAGACCGAGAAAGAAGAAAGUGAAGGAGGAAGGAAAACAGCUAGUCCUGCCCCAGUAAUUAUCAGGAAGAGGACCAGGAAUAUCCAGCUGGAUCCCGACGCGGCACGGCAGCCUCUCAGAAGGGGUUUCGCUUGGGUCAACGGGAUAAACAAAAUGAAUGGCUGGAAUCCUGUCUUCGAGGCGGCGAGGGCGUGGGGCUGGGGGUUCCAGACGUCUGGAAGCCUGUGAGCUCAGCCGGGUCGGUCACAGCGUAAGGCUGUGUCUCUGGGUCUCCCGUCUUCAGCCUCUUUCCCUUCCUUUGUGAAAGUAAAUGCUGAGUUAGAUGA